rnacentral:rRNA from 1 species
ACAGCAGCAGCCACGGGAAUACGAAGGGUGCAAACGUUACUCGGAAUUACUGGGCGUAAAGCGUGCGUAGGUGGUUGUUUAAGUCUGCUGUGAAAGCCCUGGGCUCAACCUGGGAAUUGCAGUGGAUACUGGGCAACUAGAGUAAGGUAGAGGAUAGUGGAAUUUCCGGUGUAGCAGUGAAAUGCGUAGAGAUCGGAAGGAACAUCUGUGGCGAAGGCGACUAUCUGGGCCAUUACUGACACUGAGGCACGAAAGCGUGGGGAGCAAACAGGAUUAGAUACCCGCGUAGUCCCUGUCUCUUAUAC